UGUGUGUGUGUGUGUGUGUGUCUUUCAUAGACAAAGAGAGUAUUACUAUGAUAAGAUUAACUGUUGAUUCUUAACACCAUCCUUCAUAAAACCAGUCCAGUAGAAAUUGCAAUGUCUAUUAAUUCUAUAUCACUUUGUUGUAAAUGCUGUCAAUUAUUGAGUAUUACUGUCAUAGGAUUAACAGUGCCACAUAAAAUCAUCUCUCUCACCCAUAACCCCAUAAUUAUUGAGUAUUGCUGCAAUAGAAUUAAGCAUAGACUCAACACCCAAUAAAGUCACCCAUACUCAAUAAAAUGACUUCUCUCACUCACCCAUAACCUAUAAUUACUGAGUAUUAUGGAGAGAGAAUUAACCAUAAGCUGUGAACACUUUGCCCCAUAGAAACAGCUGUCUCACUCACCCAUAACUCAUAACCAUUAACCUAACCUAACAACCUACAGACUAACCUGCUUCUUUCCCCUUGCCUUCCUUCCCACUCACCUCUGCCACUUCUUCUUACUGCCUCACUCACCCAUAACUCAUAACCAUUAACCUAACUUAACUAACUACAGACUAACCUGCUUCUUUCCCCCUCGCCUUCUCUCACUCACCUCCUCACUCACCCAUAACUGUCCUCCAUCAGUCAAGAAGCACAAGAACGAUGCUGUCUCGGAAGCAGAGCAGUGUUGGCAACUGCUGCGUUCAGGGAGGUACUCGGAGUUCAACUUUGUGUACUAUCGAGGCACCAAGUUUGGAUUUGCUACGCCCAACGCCAGGAUUGAGAGUAUCUUGAUGUCUCUUCCCCUUCAUGCUAGGUGGGAGUACAUGCACCAGCCAGCGCCAGGCACACCGGAGUACAAGAUCACAGAGGUGCUUAAGAAUCAGAAGGACUGGGUGUAGCCAGCAACUGUGAAGCAACUGUGAGGGAGCCAACCUGCUCACCCUUUCACUGAGACUUACCACUGACACCACUAAAGCUUGUGCAGUUCUUAGGAGCAUCAAGCUUUAGAGGUCCAGCGGCACACUGCACACUGCUUGCAUAAACGUGUGCAGAGUGCAAGACAGAGAGGGGCAAGGAUGAAGGAUGCUUCAAGACAGAGAGGGGCAAGGAUGGAGGAUGCUUCAAGACAGAGAGGGGCAAGGAUGGAGGAUGCUUCAAGACAGAGAGUGGCAAGGAUGGAGGAUGCUUCAAGACAGAGUGUGGUAAGGAUGGAGGAUGCUUCAAGACAGAGAGUGGGGAUAUCCUCUACGAGUGGCAGCCUUGGAGUAGCCAAGAAUUAAGGCGCGUACACACGCCGUCCUCUCUGGGCUGCUAGUGUGGGUGAUAGCCGGUGGUGGCGGUGUACCAGGCCUCCUAAUGGUUUCCGCCUCAUGGUACACCUGGUGAGUGCGUUGUGACACGGCUCUCCGCGCCCGCGCCUUCACCUCCUGCCGGCUGGCUGGGCGGCACGUGCCUGAUGAUGGCGGGGCCUAAGCGGCACUUCGUCUGGCAGCUUCGUCAGCGGCCAUAUGACUGGGGAUCCAGUGUAGCAUGACUCGCCUCCCCUGCUCACCAAAGUUCUACAGGUUGCCCACUAUGGAGGAAUUUGUUUCCCUAGAAAAAAAAUAUAUAGCAC